rnacentral:lncRNA from 1 species
GCGUCGUCAUAAGCCAAAUGGUCAUACUAAAAUCCAAUAUCUAGAGGAAUGUGAGAUGGACGACUGCGUCUUACUCUCAUUCUAGUUAGUUUGUACAAAUCCAAACACAAAUAGGAGCAAUCAAAAAAUAUAAAUGUUAAAUACUAAUAUGUAAAACGUUAGCCGAAGUAACCGCGCAUAUAUGUAUAUAUAUAAAAAAAUGUAAAGCUUUGAACUAAAAAAGGAAGCGUUGACAGUAUUGAUGAGAUGAGGGUUGCUAGACACGAGCAAAUAAUGUAGGCUAUUAGUCGCUUCUCUGAAAUGGACAGAGAUGGAGUCAUAUACUAACUCCAAACGCGCUCUCGAGUGUACAUGUGACAAACAAAGUAGAAAUAGAAUUAGCGACUGAAUUUUAGGUUCAUCAAAGACAUGUAAAAUAAGUAUUAUGUAGUUGUAGGCAUACUGUAAAUAUACUCAAAAAAAAAAAAAAACCACAACAACAUAAUACUAUUCUCGCAAUUCCUUGACGACAUUUAAGUAAUUAGUAUACCAAAGACUUUAAUCAAUCUAGAGAGAAACAUCACAAGAAGAGUCGAGGGAGGAGGUGAACACUUAUAUUAUUUUAUGAUCUUGGUAUACAAUUAAAGGAAGAGCCACUGGAAAGCUAAUCAAUCAAAUUAUUUUGGAUAGUAAAGUACUAUCUUAACUAUAAAGUCGUAAAAUAAGGACUGAAGAGAGAUCAUCUUUAACUGAUCACUAAAAAUCAAUCCACAAUACUACUAGAUUAAAACUAGUCACUCGAGAACUCUUUGGAUUAGUUCUUGUAGAAUAAUAAAAUCAUCCCCUCCAAAUGGAGGAUAUGUAUAAACCAAAAUUUUCACAUAUAUUGAAUGAAGGAUUACGUUUCGGUUAACUAUGUCAAAUGACUAGACAUUUAUCCAUACUCUUAUAUUUUCCAGAUCUUCAAACAGGGAGGGGGAUGGAAGAUUAGGAAGAACUGAUCUUGAUAGAUCGAAAUGGCUCAUUCAGACUUAGAAAAUGAUUAUUUAGGCAAAGUUUUGAUAAAAAAAAUAUAAUCUGAAACAUACUAUGGAGUUGACGUCAAAGAUAUAAAAUUAAGUGUGGUAAAGAGCUGGAAAAAU